rnacentral:lncRNA from 1 species
UUUAAUCAUGAAAUUUUCAUUUAUCAAAGUUUAAAUCAUUGAAGUAAGAGAGAGAAUUGAUAUAAUGUGUUUUUCCUUCUCAUACUGAUAUAUGUUAAAGAAACAAUUUAUUCACUUGUGUAUAUAGGUAUAGAUGAAUUCAAUGAUCACACUCUAUCACUUGAAGAAGCCUUAGCAGAUACUUCAAGAAUUGAUUACUUUUAUGAUCACCUCUAUUAUCUUCAAAGUGCAAUCGAGUAAGUACUUUACACCAUGUUCAAAAUGUGCUAAGGGCAGAAAAAAGCUUCCUAAUUAUAUGAUGAUAAUGUAUUACUUUUUUGUUUGAUUUUAUUAGGAAUGGCGUGAAUGUGAAAGGAUAUUUUGCAUGGUCUUUAACUGACAGCUUCGAAUGGAAUUUAGGGUACAUUUCAAGGUUUGGAACAAUCUUUGUAGAUUACCAUAACCUCAAAAGAUAUCCAAAGUUAUCUGCCAUUUGGUUUAGAGAUUUCCUACAAGGCAAAAUAGAUACAUAUGACAAUUAAUUGCUGCUAAACUCUAUCUAUUACUCCAUUUUUUAAAAUGACAGAGUUUCUAUUAGCCCAUAAAACCCAUAUAACUGCCAUCCACACUCCUUGUUGGUAUACCCUUCUUUAUUAUUCCUGGGAAACUUUAUUUCUAUGUCUCCUCAUAUUUAAUCUCCAACUGUUUCGGUAUGGAUGGGGUCUACGUUAAUGAAUUCUCAUCAUGUUCCAUCUUUGUCUCUUUUUUUUUCUGGUUUGAUGUUGCCUUUCUUUAUCAAGUUGGGGACCAAGUUUAUUAAAUAUAACACGUUUUGUAUUAAUUUCUCACUUCAACUUUUCGAAUACGUGCAUAUAAGUUAAAAAUCUAGGAUGUUUUUGUUCUCUGGAAGGUCCUUUUUACUCACCUUUGAGGCUGCAAAAUCAAAAGGGAAUCUACCCACUUGCAUAUCAACCCUUACAGCUGCUCCAAGCCACAUGUCAUGUACCAAAAGGUGUGGUCAUCACUGCUGUAACACUUUAGCAGCAGUGAUUUAUUUACACAAGCUUCAACUUAUGUAGGAAAACAUACUUAGACCUAUCAAACCAGCUUCAACCAGUAACAAGAAGUUCUACUGUAAAAUUUGAUUUACUUCUUAAAUGAAAAGUCUAGGUUUAAAAGCUUCAAUGCCCAUGUUGAAAAAGAAGUUAGUAUAUGUAUUACUUGUUUGAGAACAGAUAGAAGUGAUGUUCACCUCAAACAGUUAGAGUAAGUUGCAAACCAAAGGGCUAUCAAUUGUUUGAUCCAAUAUCCUAGAAAGUCAUGCCUACUGUAUCCAUCUUUUACCUGUGAUCUUAAUAAUGACAAAGAUGUUAAGAAGUGGGCUUUAACGUACUAUGAAAGACUCUAAUCUUUAGUCGAUGUGGGAUCUCCAACACACCCCUCCAACUCGUGCGUGGAAAUAUAUGUUAUGGGUGGUCCGAUAACCAUGACUCUGAUACCAUCUUACGAAGUGGACUUUAAGCCUAACUCAACCUCAUAAAACUGGCUCAAUGAGGUGAGGUUUGUAUCCACUUAUAUACUAUGAAAGACUCUAAUCUCUAGUCGAUGUGAGAUCUCCAACACACCCCUCACGUCGAGGCUACCAACUCGUGCGCGGAGAUAUAUGUUAUGGGUGGUCCGAUUACGGUCCAAUAGCGGAUGACCUGCUAAACCCAACAAAUAUUCGCUAGAAUAGGCUCCAAAUUAAUUUGGUCAAUUAACCUUUCUGAUGGAGUGUAGGAAGCAAAUGUAAUGAUGGAGGAAGCCAAAUGUUGUAGGAAGAAACACCCUAUAUUAUAUUGUACAAUAUUAUAGAAACAGAGAAACUUAUACAUUUUUGCUUUAUCUUUGAUUGUACAGGUCUGAUGCAAAACAAGUAAAACGUGUUAAUUGGAAUAGAAGAACAGAUUGAAGAUAAGGUGAUGUCGACAGCUCUGCAUAGUUAGGUAGUGCCUUUAUGUUUAAAACUAAUAUAUAAAGUAGUAGUUUGAAAAUAGAAAAUUACCCUUUUAUUAUAUUUUAUUUAAAAAUAUGUUAAGAUUUUAGUUGGUUUCCUUUAACUUCUUCCAUUAAAACAAAUCUUUCCUUAUAAUUAUGAUUAUGAUUAUGGUUAUCUUUCCUUUCUUUUAUCUUGAUUUUCAAAUCAGAUUUCUCCAUUAUUUAUUUGCAAAUACAGGUGGUGGAUUUUGUAUAAAAAUAAAAUUUAGUUUUAAUAUAUAUUAUAUUUGCAAUAGACUUCAUUAGUUAAAUUCGUAUAUAUAUUAGUGCACACAUCUGGAAUGAGAGUGAAAAAACUAUGAAGAUUGUAGCUAUGGUAUUGAGUUGGAAUCUUCUCUCUGGUGUUUUGCUGCUUAUGCUAUCAGUACCAAUCUGCAUUGAAGGUUCAGUUUCAAUUUUUUCCACUGAUGAUUUUAGGAGUACAUCUCUCAACAGAAGCAGUUUUCCAAAAGGUUUUAUAUUUGGGGCAGGAUCAUCUUCUUAUCAGGUUCUUCCAAAACAGUGAUACUUUUUUUAUAUUUUGAAACUUUUUUUUAUAAACAUCUACUGAAAUAUUGUAAACUUUAGAGAAAGUUUCACAGGGAGCGUAUUUCUUGUAAAUUUCUGUAAAAAGUAUGUAGGAAAAGUUUCACAAAUCGUCGAAAUUUUGCAAUAAUCUUUAAGUUUGAAAGAGAUUAAUUAAUUGCCAUAUAAACUAGUGUGAAGGUGCAGCAAAUGUUGGUGGCAGAGGACCAAGCAUAUGGGAUACAUUCACUCAUACUCACCCAGGUUUUAUUUUUUUCCUUGCUUAUAGUACAAUCCAUGUUCACUGUAAUUUUUUUUAGUGUGUUCAAUUAUAGCUUGUUGUGUAUGGUAAUUUAUUGAGUUUAUAUUAUUGUAUUAAAAUGUAAUGUAGUUUUGAUAGAGUUUUCUAAUUAUUACUAUGUUCUUGAUCUGCCAGAGAAAUGUCUGUAGUUACAAAUUCUAGCAUAUUUUGUUUGAAACAUGACAGAUAAAAUACUGGACGGAAGUAAUGGAGAUGUUAGCAUUGAUCAAUACCAUCGUUAUAAGGUAUGAUAAUAAGGACCCUUUAAUACUUAAUAUGUGGUGAAGCAAUAAAAUAAAGCAUACUUGAAAUUCUUUUCAUGACUAAUAACACAGGAAGAUGUUGAAAACAUUAAGGAAAUGAACAUGGAUGCUUUCAGAUUUUCAAUCUCUUGGUCCAGAAUACUUCCAAGUAAGAAACAGGAAACUAUAUAUGAGCUUCUCUUUCUUAUAAUUUUGUACAUUAGUACUCCUUAAUCAUAGCAAUAAAAAAUAUGUAUUGUAUAAAUUGAUGGCUAUUAUUUAAAUCUUAGAUUCUUUGGCUAAUUUCAGAAGGAAAGGUUAGCGGAGGUGUGAACAAGGAAGGAAUCAACUAUUACAACAACCUCAUUAAUGAACUGUUAGAUAAAGGUUAAUAUGUAGAUAACUAUAUUUUUUAAAUUUCAUUUUCUCUAAUUUAGUUUUGAAAUUGAAACAAGUAACUCAAUUUACUGACAUCCAUAAUGCAGGUCUUAAACCCUUUGCGACCCUUUUUCAUUGGGACCUUCCUCAAGCCUUAGAAGACGAAUAUGAUGGUUUUUUAAGUCCUAAUAUAGUGUAACUCACAUUUCUUAUAUCUAAUAAUCAAAAUAUAUUAUUUGUGAGAACAUUCUCUAACUAAUAUCUACUUUUUUAUCAUUAUCUAGGGAUGAUUUUAAAGAUUAUGCAGAACUUUGUUUUAAAGAAUUUGGAGACAGGGUAAAACAUUGGACUACAUUAAAUGAACCAUGGACCUUUAGUACAUAUGGGUAUGCUGAGGCUGCUUUCCCACCUGGAAGAUGUUCAACCUGGCAAAACUUAUCUUGUACUGCUGGUGAUUCAGCCACUGAACCCUACAUAGUGACUCACAAUCAAUUACUUGCUCAUGCAGCUGCUGUCAAUGUCUAUAAGACAAAAUAUCAGGUAAGGUUUAAUUACAUAUUUUGUAUUUUGAAAUGCGAUCAGAAUAAGUGUAUUGAUUUCCUUAUUCAAUAAAAGAGUCAUAAUAAACAAGUCCUAAACUAAAAUUUUGCUUCAUGUAUGUAGGUGUCUCAAAAGGGUGUGAUAGGGAUAUCGCUGGCAUGUCAUUGGAUAGUACCACUCUAUGAUACAGAGUUGGAUCAGUUUGCUGCAGAAAGAGCCCUUGAUUUUUUAAUCGGAUGGUAACUACUUUAUGAACCUAAAUUCUAUGUGGAGCUCAACUAUAGUAUGAUAGUGAUUCUAAAUUAUUUUGUCAUUUUAAUUCAAUAUAUUGUAGGAGAAAGAUUGAAAUAUUGUCACACAAUGAGGCCUCAUGAUAUAUUAUGUUUUCCUCAUAACAAUUUAACUCUGGAAUGUAAUAGAAUGUGUGUGUACUUUGAGAAAAUUACUUUCAUUUUAUGAUUAGUCAGAGACAUAAAUAGUUUAAUUAAAGGGACAAAAGCUUGAUAUAGUGGUCAGAUAAGAACACUAAACUUAUGAAGAACACCAAAAGAGUAGUCCAAUCCAUUACAGGUUAUUCAGAUGAAAAAUCCUACAAUUAAUACUGAUUAUCUACUCAACUAUAAUGCUAGGAUUAAACUAAUAAUAUGUAUAACUAAUUUAUUCAAAUACUGUAUUGUAGGUUUAUGGAGCCAAUGACAAUUGGAGAAUACCCUAAAUCCAUGCAAUCUCUGGUAGGGAGUCGAUUACCAAAGUUUUCUGCUGAUGAGAUCAAACUUGUAAGAGGGUCCUUUGAUUUUAUUGGAAUAAACUACUAUACUUCUUAUUAUGCUUCUGAUACACCUGAGUUAAGUGAAGCAAGGCCUAGCGCCCUCACAGAUUCUCUUGUUAUUCUUACAAGUAAGUGCUCCUUAAUAUCUAUCUCAUUAUUGACUAUAUAUAGACUUUAACGUAUGAAAGAAGAUAAAUGACCGAAUUUGUACGAAACUCAUACAAUUUUUACCUCUGUAAUGGGUCGUCAUUUAAAAUAUUACGAGGUUGGAAAAUUCAUGCCAACAUGACAUGACUUUAUUAUGAAGAAAUCGUAGGAAAAAUACUAUGACUUUUGUUAUGUCAAUGUGAUGUCAUGUCAAGGUGACACGACUUCAAUUCAAAAUGAUUACAUAAAAGUCGUGUCACCUUAUACAAUUUCAAAUUUUCUUCACAAUAAAAUCAUACCAUAUUUGCACGACUUCUCCAACCUUGUAGUAUUUUAAAAAACAACCCCAUUUUAGUAAUAAGGGGCAAUGAUUGCCUCAGUUUCUUACAAAAACCGAUAAAUGACAUUAUAACUAUAUGAUACCAUUCAAACUAUCAUUGUUAUUCUAAUCCAUCAUUUAAUUUAGUUAUAUAUAUGUUUGAGGUCAAACACAAAUUGCAGCUGAUGUAUCAAAAUCAAGUAUUUAUAUUGUUAAUUUAUGUUAUUAGUAGAGAAUGAUGUAGAAUAUUAACAGGUGAGCGUAAUGGAAUACCUAUUGGUAAAGUGGUAAGUUUGUGAUUACAUUUUAUUGAAACUGCAACUACAUAUCAGUGCUUCAUUUCAAUUAGUUUUUCAAUAAAGAAAAGGAAAGUUGUAUUCUGCAGAGUACUUCAAAAUGGUUCUAUGUUUGUCCAAAAGGAAUUCAUGAUCUGUUGCUGUAUAUGAAAACAAAGUACAACAACCCUUUGCUCUACAUCACUGAAAAUGGUAAUGUAGCUGUUGAGUUUAAUCAUGAAAUUUUCAUUUAUGAAUGUUUAAAUCAUUGAAGUAAGAGAGAGAAUUGAUAUAAUGUGUUUUUCCUUCUCAUACUGAAACAAUUUAUUCACUUGUGUAUAUAGGUAUAGAUGAAAUCAUUGAUGAAACUCUAUCACUUGAAGAAGCCUUAGCAGAUACUUCAAGAGUUGAUUACUUUCAUGAUCAUCUCUAUUAUCUUCAAAUUGCAAU